UGGGGAAUUUUGGACAAUGGGCGAAAGCCUGAUCCAGCCAUGCCGCGUGCAGGAUGAAGGCCUUCGGGUUGUAAACUGCUUUUGUACGGAACGAAAAGCCUCUUUCUAAUAAAGAGAGAUCAUGACGGUACCGUAAGAAUAAGCACCGGCUAACUACGUGCCAGCAGCCGCGGUAAUACGUAGGGUGCAAGCGUUAAUCGGAAUUACUGGGCGUAAAGCGUGCGCAGGCGGUUUUGUAAGACAGAGGUGAAAUCCCCGGGCUCAACCUGGGAACUGCCUUUGUGACUGCAAGGCUGGAGUGCGGCAGAGGGGGAUGGAAUUCCGCGUGUAGCAGUGAAAUGCGUAGAUAUGCGGAGGAACACCGAUGGCGAAGGCAAUCCCCUGGGCCUGCACUGACGCUCAUGCACGAAAGCGUGGGGAGCAAAACAGGAUUAGAUACCCCUGGUAGUCCACGCCCUAAAACGAUGUCAACUGGUUGUUGGGUCUUCACUGACUCAGUAACGAAGCUAACGCGUGAAGUUGACCGCCUGGGGAGUACGGCCGCAAGGUUGAAACUCAAA
rnacentral:rRNA from 1 species